rnacentral:rRNA from 1 species
AUUGAACGCUGGCGGCAUGCCUUACACAUGCAAGUCGAACGGCAGCACGGGAGCAAUCCUGGUGGCGAGUGGCGAACGGGUGAGUAAAGUAUCGGAACGUGCCCAGUCGUGGGGGAUAACGUAGCGAAAGUUACGCUAAUACCGCAUACGAUCUAUGGAUGAAAGCGGGGGAUCGCAAGACCUCGCGCGAUUGGAGCGGCCGAUAUCAGAUUAGGUAGUUGGUGGGGUAAAGGCUCACCAAGCCGACGAUCUGUAGCUGGUCUGAGAGGACGACCAGCCACACUGGGACUGAGACACGGCCCAGACUCCUACGGGAGGCAGCAGUGGGGAAUUUUGGACAAUGGGCGCAAGCCUGAUCCAGCCAUGCCGCGUGCAGGAUGAAGGCCUUCGGGUUGUAAACUGCUUUUGUACGGAACGAAAAGGUUUGGCCUAAUACGCUGAACUCAUGACGGUACCGUAAGAAUAAGCACCGGCUAACUACGUGCCAGCAGCCGCAGUAA